CCUACGGGAGGCAGCAGUGAGGAAUAUUGGUCAAUGGGCGAGAGCCUGAACCAGCCAAGUCGCGUGAAGGAUGAAGGAUCUAUGGAUUGUAAACUUCUUUUAUAUGGGAACAAAGUGAGGAACGUGUUGCGUUUUGUAAGUACCAUAUGAAUAAGCAUCGGCUAACUCCGUGCCAGCAGCCGCGGUAAUACGGAGGAUGCGAGCGUUAUCCGGAUUUAUUGGGUUUAAAGGGUGCGUAGGUGGUUAGUUAAGUCAGCGGUGAAAGUUUGUGGCUCAACCCUCAAAUUGCCGUUGAAACUGGUUGACUUGAGUAUGUUUGAGGUAUGCGGAAUGCGUGGUGUAGCGGUGAAAUGCAUAGAUAUCACGCAGAACUCCGAUUGCGAAGGCAGCUUACUAGACUAUAACUGACGCUGAUGCACGAAAGCGUGGGGAUCGAACAGGAUUAGAUACCCCUGUAGUC
rnacentral:rRNA from 1 species